rnacentral:tRNA from 1 species
GCCUUCGUGGUGUAGUGGUUAGCACGCUCGAUGAAUAACCAAGAGGUCUGUGGUUCGAUUCCUGGCGAAGGCG